CGGGGAGGUUUGCAGGCAGCCAGCGAAGCCCUGCAGGUGGGAGCUGGAUGCGCCAGUUGUCUGUACGUGUGAGCGGACACGCGGGCUGGUGCACCUCGCUCCGGGGCGCGGAGGAGGCUCGCAGCCUCCCCGGGGGCACGGCCGGGCGCACGUGACGGUAUCCGUGCCUUGCACGCCGGCCACGUUGAUCUCAUGUGCUGAGCUCCUCGCAGGCACCCGAAGGAGUCAUCGAGUGCGCGCUGAUCACCGUGCGCUGCCAAAAUCCUCUGGAAUCUGCUCCCCUGCGCCGCCCCUUCCCAGGUCAGCGGCGGGGGCUGCGGCAGCAGGUGCUGAAACCCGUCCCUCCUCGCGACCUGCCUCGCUUGCUUUUCCAGCACAUUUUCCGGAGUGGCUGCAGAGCGAAGGCUGACAUCACUUUGCUGGCCGGUUUCAGCUAAUUUAGACUGCAGCAAUGUGUGUGAUUAGUUCAAAACACUCCUUGCAGCGAGCGGUGCCGUGCAUUUAUCAACACGCCGGGCUUCCUCGCUGCCUCGUGCUGCUGCUGGCUUUGAAGAAGUAUUUCCCUUUGCACUGAAGAUGAAUGUUGCAGCCUGCAGGUCAAUGGCUCAGUUCUCCCCGAAGGUGAAUUCUGGAGGAGCUGAGCUGGGAUCUUCACAGUGGAAACAGCUGGCAGCUGAAACGUCUUUAAAAUUUGUGUUAUUUGGGAAAGGAAGCAAAGGAAGAGUGAUCACAACCAAGUUCACCAUUUUACUAUGUAUUGCCCAAAUUGAAAUAAAUAUAAUUUUAAAGAGCAGAAGAAACAGCAGAAACAGCACAACCAUGUCCUAGUUUGUAGCCUUCAGCUUCUUGCAAGCAGUUUCUGCUCUGGAGGCUGCAUCAGCAUCAGCAAAGCCGUGCUUCUUGGAGCUCUCUCUUCCCUUCUGCACUUGGGUUUUCUGCUCAUGAAUAUGCCCUGGCAGUGACUCUGCUGGUCAUUGCUGUGUGAAACCACGAGUUGUGUUUGCUUUAACCAGCUGGCUGAUGUUUGUACCGGGCAGCCCACAAUCGCUGUGCUGGUGGAAGAGUGGCUGGUUGCUCCCUCUUCCCUUCCUUGUUGUUAUUUAUUUAUUUUAUUUUUCUGUUUUGUUUUUAACUCCACUGGCUAUCUCAAGCUGGGCUGUGGAGAGGCAGUGAAGUGCACUGCAGCUUGCCUGCUUUCCAAAAAGUGAGCAACCUUUCGGGACCCUAUUAGGUGUCCAAAGCAUGUGCUUUAUCAGCUUGAUCUCAUUCUGCUUGAGCUGCUGCAGGUGUCUCAUAGUUGUUGUGGCUGGUGGGUCUGUGCUUGCCCAUGAGGACUUCCCCUGCCACUGCCCAUGCCUCAUCUUCUGAUGUCCUGACUCCUUCUGGCUGCCUGGUGUGCACAGCUAGGGGAAACACCUCCACAGAGCUGAGGAGAACGGGGGGACACGGGCAUUUGGCUGGGUGGGAGCUCAGCACCCUGACCGCUGUGAUGGCUUGGAGGUGCUUCCUGGGAAAAGGGAGGAGAGCAUCCUCCUUUGGAGGGUGUAGAUGUCACAUCUCCUCCACCGGUUCUGUUUUAUCUGUGGGUCAUGCAAGCAGUGAUUUUUGUAAUGCUGGGAAAGAGGUUGGAGAGGUGGUGGUUUGGUUUUGGUUGUCCAUGCAGUGGCGUGACCAAGUUUCUGCUCUAACCAUGAGUUUGGCUCACAUCCUCGCUGCCCAGACUCCCACCUCGUCCCCUAGCUGUAGGGAAAGCAGGAGGUGCUUUUCAUCCAUUUCCCCUUUUAGAGGAUGGCGGUAGCUCUCCUCUGCUCUGAUUUUACUCACCAAAUAGGAUGAAAACAGAUGAGGUCAGUGGCGUCUAUACAGGCAGAUUUGGCCUCCAUUUUCUGUUUACUAGGACUGCAUUAGUUAUGAAUAAUGGCGCGUCAAACCACUCGCUCCAAGCAAUUUAUUCAUGGGAUUUGGCCCCGCUCGCUGUCUGCGAGCUGCCUGCCAGCAGGGUCUGAUUUUUAAAAUACACUUGCAAGCACGCAGCCGUACGCCCGAGCUGCUCGUGAACGCAUCGGGGCCCCCGGGUGCUGCAGGGUGGGGGUGGCAGUGCCAUCGGGGCACCGUGGCCGGUCCCCAAAGCCCCUAAUUCAGUGUGCAGAGGGGCAGAGGUGGUGUCUGUUUGCAGCAGGGUGCAAUUAGAUGGAUGGAAGAGGAGAAGUGGCGGGAGGCUUUAAAUAUCCUUCUUUCUCCUUUUGCCCAGGGGACAUCAUUAUGCUAAGCUACGCACACGCACGCGAUCCUGAACCUUUAAGGCAGGAAUUCCUUCCCCGACUUGAGAGUAGACGGCAAUGAUUUUGAGUUCGUUUCUCGCCGUCUGGCAAAUUUUACGUCUAAUUUUUGCUCUGUCACAUCCCCGCGGAAUAACCAUUGAUUUAUAUGAUGGCCGAGCCCAGACCAAAUGCUUUCUCACUGGAGUACGGAUACCUGUAUUCUCUCCAAGAAAGGUUCCUGCUCCCCACGCUUUGAUAAAAAGGCCAAAACUAAAGAAACCCCCGCUUGCUGUGAUGUCUGUGGAGAAGGGAACACAAUAGCCCAUGCGUGAAGGGAGGCAAUCGCGGGUCAGGUCUGCUCACCCGUCGCCGGUAUGAUGUGCACCGCUCGCUAUUGUUUUCUGGGGUAUUGCACUUUUGAUUGAUUGCUUAAUUUGUGCGCCUGUGUGAUAGUUAUUGUCAUGUGAUGGCUCUUUUGUCGUGCUGGACUGAACGUUUUUAUUCUUGGGAGACAGUUCAGGCUCCGAGAUGCUUCCCAAGAAUGCUUGGGCUGAUGUUCCCAGGGGCCAUAUUUGGAAAUCCCAACAGUUUUCUCUUGGCCAAAAGCACCAGUUGAUUUUAAGGGACGUUUUGUUUGCGUUACAGUGUGAGUUUCUGGCCCCUGAUGUUCUUGGAGGGGGAAAAAGAAAAAAAAAAAAAAAAAGAUUCCCAGCUCACAAGACAUUUGCACUAAUUAAACAGCAGGGAAUUUGUUGCUCGUUGCUGGUUUGUUUUUUCGGCUUCUGUCAGGCUUUUUUUGCACUCGGGUUUCCACGAGCCUUGUUAGCACCAGUUGGCAGCUGUCACGCAACGAUGGACGGACUCUUCCUCUCGCCCAUGAGAUGAGGUUGGUGGGAUGCAGAGCGAAGACGAGGGACACAUCCCCACCACCCAGCUCAUUUGCCUCAAGUUCAAGGUUCCCUCUAUGGGCUGUCCUAAAAGAAGGCUCUCCAGUUUAUUUGGGGGUGAAGUAUUUCAGGAGUCCGUCCUGGUCCCUUCCCUUGCUGCAUCCGUCCCUGGCAAUGGAGGGAGCUUUGGGAGAUGCCAGUGUCCUCCAAGAGGCUACAGACCCUCCCCUAGGGACCACUCUGCAUUUGGUAGCCCUAUGAUUUUUUGGCCUUUCCUAGCCUUUUGGGCAAGGAGAAGCAGACCAGGUGAGGCUGAACUUUCUUUCUUCUUUCUUACAUGCCCACAGUGUGGUUGGUGUUAGAUCAUUUGCCCUUGCCACCUGUGCGGGUUGUCAGUGUAAAGCUCCAUCUUGUUUUCCUCCUCCUUGAAGUUUAUUUUGAGUAGUUUAACCAUAAAAGCUCUGUAAAUUCUGGUGCCAUCAGGGAAUAUCCUUCCUUCUGAGUAAAUGGAGUCGCUGGAAAACCACUGAUGGAGUUGGCUUUGCCACUUCAGCUCUCCUUAAACCUGCAGUCCAGAGGCAGGGAGCCCUGCACAAGCUCUGUGCCUGCUGACACUGCUCCAAGUCCCAGUGCCUGUCACCAAACGUGGAUGAGAGGUCGGGGGGAGCACAGCUGCGCCCCUCUCCUCCCCGCAGUUUUGCUCUGUUAAUCUUCCCAAGUUUCAUUUAUGGCUGUGGUGAAAUGAGAGAGGGGCUUGGGUGGGAGAAGGACAGGACCCUGCGGGUGGUAAUAGAUGCCCUUGUGUCACUUGAGGAGCGGGGGACUGCUGCUGCUGCUCCCUGUGGUUUGGAGCAAGGUGCUCAAUCUGCCUGUGCCUGCAGUCCAUGGUAAGUGCCCGCUGCUGGUUCCAACAAGUUCCCUGGCUUCAACUGCAAAUUCCCCUCCUGCCCCUGAGUGGUUUCCCCUAAAACUCUUCACUCCAGGGGAAUCUGCAGGAUUUUUUUUUUUCUCCCUCCUCCCAUCCAAAAUCACGCAGUCGACAAAAUCUUUUUCCCGUGCUAAUCCUCGGCUAUGCAGGAGGACUCAUCCGGCCCCGCGGUAGUAGGGGAGAGACAGAUGUUCAGCAGACAAUUAGUGCAGUUGUGCAGUGCUUUCCUGCUCAAAGCCUCCACGCCAGAGCCCCCGAAUAAAUCACUGCGUGUGUGCCUGCGUCGCCUCGUGCCGCCAGACCUCUGCAAAAUGAGCGCAGGUGGGACAGGCUCAGAUGGGGGACACCGUGCUCUGCAGAAAAGUCCCCUUUCACCCCAUUUUUCUGAGCCCUUUCUGCCCUCGGUACAGCAGCAAUAGGCAUUUAACCACUGCUGA